CCUAAAUAAACAAUUCCUGAUUCAAUACGACUCAAAUAAAAUAAAGCUGGACAACUACAAAUCAAUUGAUUGAUUAUAACUGCAUAUAUUAAAUCAAGCACAAAUCUGGAAUGACACUUCAUUUUAUUCCAAUUCAAAGCUACAUCAGGGUGAUCUUAAAUGUGUACCUGGACAGAAAUUCAGAAAAAGGAGAAUAAGUCAGCAUAUAUUCAAUCAAGCACAAAUCUGGAAUAACACUUCAUUUUAUUCCAAUUCAAAGCUACAUCAGGGUGAUCUUAAAUGUGUACCUGGACAGAAAUUCAGAAAAAGGAGAAUAAGUCAACAGCAAAUAACAGCAGAGAUCCAACACUCAGCAGAUCCAGAAAACUCAACCACAAACACACCAAUUAAACUCGAAUAAAUUUGAAAAUGUACCCAGGCACUCAAAAACUCUUCAGCAAUUAGACAGAAACUAACAAAUCAACCCAGAGGCUAUAGGCUCGAAUGCACCAGAAUAUUUCAGCCAACCUAAAACUCAUCCAAAGCUUACUUAAUUGGACCAAAACUACUUGAAAUCAAAACAGUGCACUCCAGAGAAGAGCUUCAGUAAUCAGAAAAGAAAAGAGUUGAUCAAAAUUGACCAAAACUCAAUGUAACAGUGCCUUUUUUUAAUUUUUCUAUUGUGUUU
rnacentral:lncRNA from 1 species